rnacentral:rRNA from 1 species
AGGAUGAACGCUGGCGGUGUGCCUAAUACAUGCAAGUCGAGCGGUAAGGUCCCUUCGGGGAUACACGAGCGGCGGACGGCUGAGUAACACGUAGGAACGUACCCCAAACUGAGGGAUAAGCACCAGAAAUGGUGUCUAAUACCGCAUGUGAUCUUCGGAUUAAAGCUUCGGCGGUUUGGGAACGGCCUGCGCAUGAUUAGCUUGUUGGUGAGGUAAAAGCUUACCAAGGCGACGAUCAUUAGCUGGUCUGAGAGGAUGAUCAGCCAGACUGGGACUGAGACACGGCCCAGACUCCUACGGGAGGCAGCAGUAGGGAAUUUUCCACAAUGGGCGGAAGCCUGAUGGAGCAACACCGCGUGCAGGAUGAAGGCCUUUGGGUUGUAAACUGCUUUUAUCUGUGACGAUUAUGACGGUAGCAGAUGAAUAAGGAUCGGCUAACUCCGCGCCAGCAGCCGCGGUAA